rnacentral:rRNA from 1 species
CUUCCUACGGGGCGCAGCAGUGGGGAAUAUUGCACAAUGGGGGAAACCCUGAUGCAGCAACGCCGCGUGAAGGAAGACGGUUUUCGGAUUGUAAACUUCUGUUCUUAGUGAAGAAAAAUGACGGUAGCUAAGGAGCAAGCCACGGCUAACUACGUGCCAGCAGCCGCGGUAAUACGUAGGUGGCAAGCGUUGUCCGGAAUUACUGGGUGUAACGGUAGCGCAGGCGGGAAGCCAAGUCCGCUGUGACAACUACGGGCUUAACUUGUAGACUGCAGUUGAAACUGGUUUUCUUGUGUG